CUCCCUCGAUCUGCUUGAUUCAUCCUCCUGGUCACGUCGGCGUCAACUUCUUCAAGGUUAUCUCCCUCGCUCCCUUUCGCUUAAAUUAUUGUGGUUUUUUUCUUCUGUCGCCAUAAGUGGGCGUGAGAGUUAAAAGGCGUCGUUUCAGCCAAGCAAGUAAAUUGUUUUGCUAUCCAAUGCAUUGAAGCUAUAAUGUACUUAGUAAAUUGUUUAGGGCGGUGUAGGGCUUGUAAUGCCUUCCAACUUAGUGAAUUGAUAAACCUGGAAAUUUGUAUUUUUCACUUAACAGGAAUUUGCGCAAUUCAGUUAUUUGUUCAGUGAAUGGAUUUUGUCAUGACAUUUCCUGCAGGCAAUGAUUCGAAGUAGAUGGGCCUGGCUUCUGUUCAUCAUGCAAUUAUGUGCUAUCUUCGUUCUUGCUGCUGAGGGUAACUCCAUGCAUGCGCAAGCUAUAUGUACUCUUAAGCUGUUAGUCUUCUCUAACUUAUUGCAUAUUCCUGUAUGAUACCACUUUUUCCCUAGCAAGGAUAUGUGAGCCUAUUAACCUUAUGUCGUCUGUCAUUGAUUGAUAACCCAACAAAGAAGUAUGGCAGAAAUUUGCAUCUUAACCUUUCGUCUGCAGGUUCGACAUAUAAAUGUCGUACAUAUGCUUCUUUGACCUGAGUGUGUAAAGUUGGGGUAGGCCACAAGGUCUGCAAGCACAAGCAAUACCAUGAAGGAGCAACUUAUCUACUACACCUAUACAAUAACCAGUGGGGCAUAUCCAAACAUCUACCCAAUCUGCUCUUUCUACAGCCAUGGAUAGGGCAAGAAAAAUAAUUUAGAAACUGGAUUCUGUGUAUGGUUAUUCUCAUGUCCAUCAUAUGAGCACUGUGUGUGUACUUCUUCUCAUGUUGAAAUGAUGUGUUAUACUGGGCCUUUGCAUUUUCUUCAGGAUUUUUGCAUGUGUAUUUUCACAUAAUUUGUAACAAACCAAUUCAUAUUUUCGUCGCAGAUGAAUAACCAACCAAGCGCAGAUCCUUUUCAGUGUGAGCAUGCCCCGGUUUACUGGGCCUUUGCAUUUUCAAACAUUCUGAUUGGUCAUACUAUAUGUAAUCCUUUUUUUUUUUGCUUCAAGGGAGUUAAUUUGUUUAUCAUCAUGACCAACUGAAACUGAUUAAACCGGUAGGUCUUGUCCUCAAUUGGGGCGUGUGAUCUAUGAAAGCUUGGGAUUUACCGUUCUAAUGUGCCGCCUUUGGUUUUGGUUCAGGAAGAAGAAGGUGGUGCACAAGAUGGCGACGUGUGUAACUGGCUUGAGGAUUUUCUGAAGAACUUGAAUUAGGACGUUCACUACACAUUUGGAAUAGAUUGUCAAGAAAAUUUAUCUAGAGUCUGAACAAAUUCAUUUAGAUUCGGUUUAAUUAUAGGGAUUGUUCAUUUUCUGCAUUGAUUUUGUCAUGUUAUAAAAUUGGCAUACCAUAUAAUGCAUAUGUUUUCACACUAAAGGUGCCACCUGUUGUCACAAUGCUGCAAAGAUAUGGUGCAUGGAUGCAUAGUUUAACUCCCAUGAGUACUUGUAGGAAAACAAUUGUACAAUGCAUAAAGAUGUUAUUUGUAUCUGCAAAGAGCGAUCAUAUCUUUUGAUUGAUUCCAUAAGAGUGAGGUCACUCCUUGACUCAGUCGAACUUCAAUCAUUGCUCUUUUUUAAUAACGAUUGGAGAUGUGGUGUAGGAGGAUCAACAGCUAAUGGCAAACGCGCCAACAUGCCCCAAGCACGGUGACCCUUGCAGCAUGCAGAAGACCAUCGGGACAAAUGGGAGGUACACAAAUAGCCAAGAAUGCAAAGAGACGUGCAGGUCUGCGAUUAAAUGGUAUGUAGCUCCCUACGCGUGCUUGCCUAAAAUGUACUUUGGUAGUUGCUAGAGCCAUGCUAGCUUCAUAUGUUGUUCUUGCAGCCUCAACUAGCUAAUUUUAUUUAAAGCAAAUGUAGUUCUAUCCUUCCAAUUAGUCUUAUUCACAUCUUCUUUUCUUUUUUCUCUUGUCAUUAAGAGUACAAAUUUUAUGACAAUUUAAGGAAUUUUUUCAUAUCUUUCUCCCAGUUACCUUAAUUUUGUAAAUUGUGUUCUAAUUCGAUUUAGAUUUUCUUUUCAGAAAGGCCUACUUUGAAGGUGUGUGAAUCCAUUAUUUCCUUUUAGUUUGUUGUGGAGGUGAGUUGGGAACCUUUUUUAAACUUGGUGGAUGUGUUGUUGUAGUGACGGAGAUUUGCAUAAACCGUUGUUUGGCUUGCACUUUAUUUUCAUGCGGUAGCUCGCUACUAUAUAUCCAUACAAAAGAGGUUUAGUGUUACAUUAUGUAAGUAGCAGAUUUCGUUCUUGCCCUAUAUUCUUUCUUUGUGAACCUUGCUAAGUACCUAUUCCUGAUAAUAUAUUAAGACAGCGUGGAAAAUCCAGUGGUCAUGUUUGCGUUGUGAGCUUUUUGAAAUCUUUUAAUUGAAUUACUGAGAUUCUGUACUUCUAAUGUUCUUCAGUCUUUAACUAAUCAAUUGCUGAGAUCUCGAUGUUGAAAAUUGUUUCUUUGCUCUUUAAGGUUGGUUUCAGAUGGAGAGCUAGGCCCAUUUUGGAUACCAAUGUUGAUUUUUAUAUUUUUCAAUGGUUCAUUGCAUCAUAUUGUAUGUUCCUAUAGAAUUUGAUAUGCAAGCUUUUGAUGCUAAUGACUACAUCCUUAGAUUGUGAAGGGAAGCAAGAGCAGCGGCUAGCAAUAGCAGUUCUUGAAUCUGAAACGAGUGAGCUCUUCUUCAACCAAGAUAAUUAGGUGGACUGCAAUAUUUUCUAAAUUGUAAGUGAAGGUGGAUGGUUUCUUACAAAUCAAGCAUGACUUUUGAAUCUUGAUGUUGCUUCUUAUAUAGCAUAUCUAAAUGUGAAGUUUUAUAUACAGGUGUAAUGUUUCCAAUAGGUAAGCCAAAGAGCAGGGGAUAUGUGAACUUCCAAACAUGGGUGAAGGGGGAAGAUCAUAACAAUAGUGGCAUUGGCUCUAUUGGUUGGAUGUUGCAGAUUUAUUAGUUGUCAACGAUCGCCCACACAUAACGAUCAGACUUGAUUCUGAGAGCAAGUGUGCCUGUGCGCUGUUGGUCCACCUCUAGCAGUUUUUGCUUGUUUCAGCUUUUAUUCUUCAUAGUCCCUCAAGGCAACAAUCAUCAAAAUCUGACAAUGGCCGCUUCUCACUUUUGUGAACGACACUUGCCAUACUUCUGUGAACGAUGCUUGAUUUUUUUUUCAUCGGAGUAAUAGUUAUUUACUAUUGUUGAUACAUAAAUGGUUCUUUACUGAACGGUAAUUGUAUGUGAGUAUGGAGAAUGGUGAAGAACGUUUUAAAUAAAAUAAUCCAUUGUCCAACAAUGGGAUUCUAAUUUUUUUGAUCAGAUUAUACUAUAACAAUAUGAUUAGCAAAAAAACAAACGGUUGUAUAUUUGACACAUAAUGCAAUGGGUCGAAG
rnacentral:lncRNA from 1 species